rnacentral:rRNA from 1 species
UCCGGUGGCCAUAGCGUGGGGGAAACACCUGUUCCCAUUCCGAACACAGAAGUUAAGCCCCACAGCGCCGAUGGUACUGCUCUGGCAACGGAGUGGGAGAGUAGGUCGCUGCCGGAG